rnacentral:lncRNA from 1 species
GCUGGGUCUGACUCUUCUCUCUCAGGGUGCAACUCCAUUGAGCUACACCCACGUCAGAGGGGACAACCCCACUGCAGAGACUGCCUUCAGCACCAUCUCAAUCCCAUGCCAAGACCCUGUCACCCCGCCCCCCCAGGAGUAACCCCAGCUCACGAUUCCUUUUCCUUUCCAGAGUUCUUUAAGUUCAAAGGCUUUGGGAGCCUGAGCAACAUCCAUCGAGCCUUCACCCUCCGGCGAGUGUCUGCCCCUGCCAGCCCCACGGACAGCCUGCGGGCAGAGACCCUGCAUCCUAACAGCUUCCUGGAGGAUGCCCUGGAGAGCACUCAGGAUGACUUGAACACCAUGCCCAAGAGCCCAUCCCCCUAUGCCAGGUCGUGCGACAUGUACAGCCACAUGGGGACGAUGCCCAGGACCACCCCCAGUGGGGCAGGGAAACGGACCAAGAGCUCCCAAAGCUCCCAUAACAGAGGGACCACAGGUGGCAGAGCCCCUGGCACGUCCCCACCGGCCACUCCAGAGUCAGUGGCUCCCGCUGACCCUGCCCCAGCAGCAGAUGCUUCCUCAGGGACUUUGCCAUCGAAUAACAGCUCCAGCCUGGGUGAGUCAAUCACAACAGAGCCCAGGGUGGGAUCUGACGCCUCAGAGAACGACCCUCUNCUGACGCCUCAGGGAACGACCGUCCCCCUGGGCAGGCACCUGGGGGCAUGGGAGAGGGACUCGCUGCCAGCCCAGCCCAGGAGCCUAUCCAAGCUCCUAGAACUGACUGUACCACAGCAGAGCUGUUGCAAGAGCCCAUCCUGUUGGAAGGAAAAGAAGGAGCAAAGGAGGAGCUGCCGCCAGCCUCCUGGGAGAGCCCGCAAGGGAGGUAAGACACAGCAUGAGCAUGCUCAGCUACUCCAGUGCACCCUUGUUCUGCUGCUGAAUGAGGGCUCAAGCCUGCAGGGUACAGAAGACUCUGGCCCCAACUCAGCAAAGCAUUUAAGCACCUGAACGGUCCUGGACUAAGCACAUGCUCAAAAUCGAGUGCAUGCUGAAG